GCACCUUGAAUUCUAGAAUUACAAAAGCCAUGUCUUCUUACAAGUUCUUUCUAGACAAAGCUGUGAAAAUUACAAUAAAAAGAAUAGAGAGAUGAUAAUGCAUCUCAAAUCACAUACACUUGUAUAGAGCAUCAUUGAAUGGAAGAACGAAAUCCUUCCAUGUAUGGUAUCGUAGUGCCAUAUGCCCAUGCCUGGACUCUGGAGAGGAACAAUAUUAUCCUGUAAUGUUGGAGAUCCAUUGAACAACUCCUCAGGAAACCCUCAUAAGGUGUGUUUGUUGUUAAAAAUCAAAUUGUUCAAGUUUCUCUCUUGUAAUAAAAGAGAAUUCUUUAUGCUCCAAACUCAAUCAUCACGUGCUUUAUACAGUGAGCUCAACAAGACUUCUCUUGUCGACAAUUCUGAAGAUCAAAGAGUCGUGCAGGAAGGAGGCAAAGCUCUCCAACCUGGUUCUCCUGUGAUUUUGGUGAAGCAUAUGGGAAAUGCCCAGAAAAUUGAUAAAUGAUAUCUAAAUUCAGACUUGAUAAGAUCAUAAUGGCCAGCCAGUGAACAAUAUGAUCGAUAAAAAUCUUGAACCAUGUUUCUCAGGUCUUCUCUUCUAAAACAAUUUUGCACGUUGAACAAAAG
rnacentral:lncRNA from 1 species